CACGCCGUAAACGUUGGGCACUAGGUGUGGGGUUCUAUCAACGGACUCCGUGCCGAAGCUAACGCAUUAAGUGCCCCGCCUGGGGAGUACGGCCGCAAGGCUAAAACUCAAAGGAAUUGA
rnacentral:rRNA from 1 species